UGUGUUGUGCCAAGUAGCUUGAUUCUG
rnacentral:piRNA from 1 species